CCCGCACAAGCGGUGGAGCAUGUGGUUUAAUCGAAGCAACGCGAAGAACCUUACCAGGUCUUGACAUCCCGAUGCUAUUUCUAGAGAUAGAAAGUUACUUCGGUACAUCGGUGACAGGUGGUGCAUGGUUGUCGUCAGCUCGUGUCGUGAGAUGUUGGGUUAAGUCCCGCAACGAGCGCAACCCCUAUUGUUAGUUGCCAUCAUUCAGUUGGGCACUCUAGCGAGACUGCCGGUAAUAAACCGGAGGAAGGUGGGGAUGACGUCAAAUCAUCAUGCCCCUUAUGACCUGGGCUACACACGUGCUACAAUGGCCGGUACAGACGGACGCAAAGCCGCGAGGUGGAGCAAAUCCUAAAAAGCCGGUCUCAGUUCGGAUUGCAGGCUGCAAUUCGCCUGCAUGAAGUCGGAAUCGCUAGUAAUCGCAGGUCAGCAUACUGCGGUGAAUACGUUCCCGGGCCUU
rnacentral:rRNA from 1 species